rnacentral:lncRNA from 1 species
AUAGUGGAAAAGACCCAACUCUUAAACUAUGAUGGUAGUGAAACAUAAUCUUGUGAGUUAAGGUCCUCCAGUCUGGCCUUGAGUUUCGUGUUUGAUACAUAUCAUCACAAAAGUAGCAUUUCUAUAAGUGUUACAGGAAUUAACCAGAAGUUUUCACGCUUUAUUCAAGGAGGGUAUUAAAAGUUUCUGCUGCAAAAUCUGAAAGGACAAAGAUGUUUUGCUCAGAACUGCUACAUCAUCAGAAAGAGGCUGUUAUGUGCGUACGACAUACUUAGAUCAUGUUCUAUUGGUGACAGCGAUGUCUAUUUGAUGUUAGGACAGCUGAUUCUAGGUGAUUGACAUCUAAGAUUUCAUGUUAUCGCAUAUUUCGUGGUGGAUAAAGCUGUUCAGCCUAGGUUUUCUACUUGGUAUGGUUUUUGAAGAGAUGGCGUCGG